UACGGAGGGUGCAAGCGUUAAUCGGAAUUACUGGGCGUAAAGGGUGCGUAGGUGGUUAGAUAAGUUAUCUGUAAAAUCCCCGGGCUUAACCUGGGCAGGUCAGAUAAGACUGUUUGACUCGAGUAUGGGAGAGGGUAGUGGAAUUUCCGGUGUAGCGGUGAAAUGCGUAGAGAUCGGAAGGAACACCAGUGGCGAAGGCGGCUACCUGGCCUAAUACUGACACUGAGGCACGAAAGCGUGGGGAGCAAACAGG
rnacentral:rRNA from 1 species